AUUGAACGCUGGCGGCAGGCUUAACACAUGCAAGUCGAGCGAGCGGCGGACGGGUGAGUAAUGUCUGGGAAACUGCCCGAUGGAGGGGGAUAACUACUGGAAACGGUAGCUAAUACCGCAUACCAUCGGAUGUGCCCAGAUGGGAUUAGCUAGUAGGUGGGGUAACGGCUCACCUAGGCGACGAUCCCUAGCUGGUCUGAGAGGAUGACCAGCCACACUGGAACUGAGACACGGUCCAGACUCCUACGGGAGGCAGCAGUGGGGAAUAUGGAACAAUUGGCGCAAGCCUGAUGCAGCCAUGCCGCGGGUAUGAAGAAGGCCUUCGGGUUGUAAAGUACUUUCAGCGAGGAGGCGUUACUCGCAGAAGAAGCACCGGCUAACUCCGGGCCAGCAGCCGCGGUAAUUG
rnacentral:rRNA from 1 species